rnacentral:rRNA from 1 species
GACGAACGCUGGCGGCGUGCUUAACACAUGCAAGUCGAACGGUGAAGCCUUCGGGCGGAUCAGUGGCGAACGGGUGAGUAACACGUGAGCAAUCUGCCCUUGACUCUGGGAUAACUUCGGGAAACCGGAGCUAAUACCGGAUAUGACAUCUGGCCGCAUGGUCUGGGUGUGGAAAGAUUUAUCGGUCAAGGAUGAGCUCGCGGCCUAUCAGCUUGUUGGUGGGGAAUGGCCCACCAAGGCGACGACGGGUAGCCGGCCUGAGAGGGCGACCGGCCACACUGGGACUGAGACACGGCCCAGACUCCUACGGGAGGCAGCAGUGGGGAAUAUUGCGCAAUGGGCGGAAGCCUGACGCAGCGACGCCGCGUGAGGGAUGAAGGCCUCGGUCGUAA